rnacentral:lncRNA from 1 species
UGACGGAGUCGACGGAGAAAGGGGUGCUUCUCAGCUUCGAGGAUGAGUCGGGAAAGUCUUGGAAAUUCAGAUACUCAUAUUGGAACAGUAGUCAAAGCUACGUGUUGACCAAAGGGUGGAGCAGGUACGUCAAAGACAAGCACCUCAACGCAGGGGACGUCGUUUUAUUUCAACGGCACCGUUUUGAUAUUCAUAGACUCUUCAUUGGCUGGAGGAGACGCGGAGAGACUUCUUCCUUUUCUGCCGUCUCCGCCGUGUCUCAAGAUCCUCGAGCUAACACGACGGCGUUCUGGAACGUUUUGACUACACCUUAUCGUCAAGUACACGCGUCAACUAGUUCUUACCCUAACAACAUCCACCAAGAGUAUUCACAUUAUGGUAUAAAACUCUUUAUCUACUGUCUCUUUUUUUUAAUAUAUCCUAGAUUAUUAAUUUAUGCAUUGUGUUUUAGAUUUCGGAAAGCUAAACCGUUUAGUCAUACCAAAACAACACGCCGAGAGAUACCUCCCUCUCAAUAAUUGCGGCGGCGGCGACGACGUGACGGCGGAGUCGACGGAGAAAGGGGUGCUUCUCAGCUUCGAGGAUGAGUCGGGCAAGUCUUGGAAAUUCAGAUACUCAUAUUGGAACAGUAGUCAAAGCUACGUGUUGACCAAAGGAUGGAGCAGGUACGUCAAAGACAAGCACCUCAACGCAGGGGACGUCGUUUUAUUUCAACGGCACCGUUUUGAUAUUCAUAGACUCUUCAUUGGCUGGAGGAGACGCGGAGAGACUUCUUCCUUUUCUGCCGUCUCCGCCGUGUCUCAAGAUCCUCGAGCUAACACGACGGCGUUCUGG